rnacentral:rRNA from 1 species
CACGUAGGGGACGAGCGUUGUCCGGAUUCAUUGGGCGUAAAGGGCGCGUAGGCGGGCCGCCGCGUCCGGGGUGAAAUCCUCCCGCUCAACGGGAGAACGGCCUCGGAUACGGGCGGUCUGGAGGGGGGUAGGGGCGUGCGGAACUGUGGGUGGAGCGGUGAAAUGCGUUGAUAUCCACAGGAACUCCGGUGGCGAAGGCGGCACGCUGGACCUCACCUGACGCUGAGGCGCGAAAGCCAGGGGAGCGAACGGG